rnacentral:rRNA from 1 species
GACAGAGGAUGCAAGCGUUAUCCGGAAUGAUUGGGCGUAAAGCGUCUGUAGGUGGCUUUUUAAGUCCGCCGUCAAAUCCCAGGGCUCAACCCUGGACAGGCGGUGGAAACUACCAAGCUGGAGUACGGUAGGGGCAGAGGGAAUUUCCGGUGGAGCGGGUGAAAUGCGCAGAUAUCAGGAGGAACACCGGUGGCGAAGGCGGGUCUCUGGGCCGAUACUGACGCUGAGGAGCGAAAGCGUGGGGAGCGAACAGGG